GGUCCCUAUGGGAACAUCCAAAAAAUUUUAUUGUUACAGUUAUGAUUAGCACGGCCCCUGCACAAGGAUGAAUCAGUGGGGAUCUUUUUUUUUUUUUU